rnacentral:rRNA from 1 species
UACCACAUAUGUUAUUUAUUUGCAAUAAUAAGUAAUAAAAGGAGCAUUUGCUUCGCUAAUUGAUGGGGAUGCGGCGCAUUAACUAGUUGGUAAGGUAAUGGCUUACCAAGGUAAUGAUGCGUAGCCGAUCUGAGAGGAUGAACGGCCACAUUGGGACUGAGACACGGCCCAAACUUCUACGGAAGGCAGCAGUAGGGAAUUUUUCACAAUGGGCGAAAGCCUGAUGGAGCAAUGCCGCGUGACUGAUGAAGGUCUUCGGAUUGUAAAGGUCUGUUGUAAGGGAAGAAGUGCUAGCAAAGGAAAUGAUGUUAGUAUCGACCAUACCUUAUAGAAAGCCACGGCUAACUAUGUGCCAGCAGCCGCGGUAAUACAUAGGUGGC